rnacentral:rRNA from 1 species
CCUACGGGGUGCUGCAGUGGGGAAUAUUGGACAAUGGGCGAAAGCCUGAUCCAGCCAUGCCGCGUGUGUGAAGAAGGCCUUCGGGUUGUAAAGCACUUUCAGUGGGGAAGAAAGCCUUGGGGCUAAUACCCUCGAGGAAGGACAUCACCCACAGAAGAAGCACCGGCUAACUCCGUGCCAGCAGCCGCGGUAAUACGGAGGGUGCGAGCGUUAAUCGGAAUUACUGGGCGUAAAGCGCGCGUAGGCGGUCUGAUAAGCCGGUUGUGAAAGCCCCGGGCUCAACCUGGGAACGGCAUCCGGAACUGUCAGGCUAGAGUGCAGGAGAGGAAGGGAGAAUUCCCGGUGUAGCGGUGAAAUGCGUAGAGAUCGGGAGGAAUACCAGUGGCGAAGGCGGCCUUCUGGACUGACACUGACGCUGAGGUGCGAAAGCGUGGGUAGCAAACAGGAUUAGAUACCCUAGUAGUC